rnacentral:lncRNA from 1 species
CAAGGGGUGAAGAACUUCAUCCCUAUUGGUCGAAUACCAUGCCCAAUGGGCUUUGAGGAGGCUGCCCGAGGCCAUAUUAGGGGAUUAGGGUUCCUCUUUCGAAGCCAUUCGAGCUUUUGAGGCUAGGGUCAGAAGGUUUAGGGUUUUGGGUAUAAUUUGGGUGAAGAUUUUGUGUAAUUUCGAGUUUUUAUGGAAAAGAUAUGAAUGUUCAAAGAUAAGGUGUCAAUUUCGUACCUACUGGCACUUCUUUUGGGCAUCACAUACGAAAACGGAGAGCAACGGAAGAUCGGCGACUGGAUUUGGAGGAAGCAUUUUCUCGGCUACACAUUCUACUUACUGUAUAGUGAAUUCUAAGACUGGGUGAAGGAGUUAUGAGGCGUUGAAGACAGCACUUGAAAUUUGAAGGCAGUAAGUAUAUCGUUUUGUUGCUAGUUAUGGGUGAAGCCAUAUCUUGAGUUUUUGGACGAAUUUUUGACUCAAAAUUUACACAAGUGUGUGUAAUUGGGUUAAGAAGCUUUAGAUCAAAGUUUCAUAGUAUUUGAAUAAUUAAUUUGUGAGAUAUGAAGGAAGUUGUACACGGGUGUAAAAAAGCUAGGGUUUGAAGCUACAGUUAGGGUUUUCAAGAUAUCACAAGAUCCAAGACGAAUUUACGGUUGAAAUUUGGUGUGGUAGUUGCUAAAGAUAUAUCAGUACUCCAUGUAAGAUUUGGAGUUGUUUAGACGGUUAGAUCGUAAGUUAUGAGCUGUUGAACUUCGGAAAAAAUUCCUCAUAAGGAUAUAUAAGUUUUUUAUAACACCUUAUCAAGUAUUUUGAUGUUCUUUGGAUUUUAAGGCUUGUAUAUUGAUGUAAUUGCUCCAAAGGAGAGGAGUUUAAAUAUAUAAAAUUGUUACCCUUAUAUUUCAAAUUUGAUUGAGUAUUUAGUGACAGCCAGAAGCCCAGCGCUUUCUUGAGGCAAACUCUCUCUACCUCGACAUAUUUGGUGCUUCCACUGAGAGAGCCUUAAGGCACUAAAAUUCUCAAUAAGUUAGAAUGGGGGAUCAAAUUCCAGGGUUUGGAUUACCAAGUGGAGUAGGUGCUCAUGAUUUAUUCAGAGUAUUUACUCAAUUUAUGGAAGAAAGGCAACAGGUGCAUUGAGAGGAUAAGAAUACCACCAAAGCUUUACGAGUAGUGCUGGAUAAGGUUGGGAGGUUUGAUGGGAGGAACAUCACUAAGUUCCUCAGGGUUUAUACAUGUGAAAUGGAAGUGCAUCAGGUUUCAGAAGUAAAGAUGAUUUCUACCUUUGAUUUGGCAGUGGUACCAAAAAUCAGAGAGAGGGUGCAAGAGUUGCAUACUGAGACUAUAUCAUGGAAGAAAUUUGAAGAACUCUUGAAAGAUGAGUUUUUUGAGGAGGAUUCAGAAAGAAUGACAAAACAAACUUUUUUGGAUUGGAUUGAGCAAAGGCCAGGGAAUCAAAUGGUUCCCAAUGAACUAAUCAGGGAAUUUGAGGCUAAGUUUGGACAGUUACCACGACAAGAGAGGCAGCUUUUGGAAACAAGGAAGACUGGAUUAUUUUUACAAGCAACUGAUGAACAUUUGGAGGAUUAUCUACUCUUUUAUCUAGCAGACAAGACAUCUGAGAGUGGUUUUACUAAUGAUUGGAAGCUAGUAAAAGAUACAGUGGGGCUUUUGGCUAAGCAAAAAAAGAUUAAGACUCGUGGAUUAUUACCAAAGUUGGAGCCAAUGCCUGCAUCUCAAAAUCUAAUGCCACCUCAAAAGAGAAUUAAGACUGUUAAGGAUGGUACUCUUGAAGAACUAAUUAAGGACAUACAGGACUUGAAGGUGGAAAUGACUGAAUUGAAGAAAUCCCAGAUGGCAAGCUCAUCAAAGACAAUUGAAGGCUCAAAGGGAUUUAUAGAAAGAUGUAUGUGGUGUGACAAUCCAAACCAUAAGCGUGGUGAGUGUGAUAGCUAUAAGGCUGCAAUCAAGGAUGGUAUUGUGUAUUUCAAAGAGGGCAGGAUAAGACUUACAAGGUCAGAUGAGCCUCUAAAGACUAAUUUUGGGAAGGAUGGCAUGAAAAAAUUAGUAGAGGAGCAAACAUCAAAGAAUAGUAUCAUAAAAAGGGAAGGAGCUGAGUCUUAUUCUAUUACAUUUGAACAAAAGGGAGUUAAGGUUGUUUCUAUGCCAACUAAAGAAGUCAUGAUGAGGGGAGCUGAAGCUAUCAGAAAGAAAACUGGGUGGAAUGAUCCAGUUGAUACUAUUAGCAUUAAAGCAUAUUUGUGUGGAGACAAGCAUGAUGAUGAUAUGCAUGAUGCUAUGGUUGAGGAAAAAAGAGGUAGAACUAUUCAUGAAGAGGAUGUUAUUGAGCCUGAAAACAAGAGGAGGUCUCCAAGAAAUAAAGAAGCUUCUAAGGAGCAAAAAACUGAGAAGGUAUCUUCUUCUACUCAUCCUAGUAGUGCACCAUUACCAAAAGAGUGGUGGGAGAAGGGCAAAGAAAAGGAGAAAGAAGAUACAAGCAAACCUAAAGGUAAAACUCCUGCUUAUAAACUUCAAUCUGAGAUUGAAUCAUCUAUAGAUAUGAAGAGUAUUUUACAAGAGAAGAUCUUGGAUGCAAAGAUUGAAUUCACUCUAAGAGAGGCUCUAGACAUAGCCAAGAAGGAUUUUCAUGAAUUAAUCAUCAAUGUGAUAAAGAGGAAGAAGCAAAUGACAGCAGAAGCUAUUAUGGUAGAGGCAUUGGAUACUCGGAUAACUGUGGAUGAAGAAGAAGAGAUAUGACAGGUAUUUGUAUAAUUUGCAAUGCUUGAAACUAGAAAUAAGGUUGAUAUGGAAAAAAAAGUUUCAUUUAAACAUGUUGAAGGUAAAAGAGAGCAUCAAGUGGAAUGCACACCUUUGGAAUUUAUAAGGAUAAGGAAGGAUGCACAAGAAGCAAGUGUUAAUACUUGCUCCAAAUGUGAAAAUGAGAGAAUAGAGAGUAGUAGUUAUUCAAUUCCUUAUUAGGCUAGAGCUACUACAGAAACAUAUGUGAGAUUGGGGGAUUCUAAAGAUCCAAUUUUGGCUCUGGUUGAUCAUGGAUCUGAAAUCAACAUCAUGUCAAGGAAGAUAUAUGAGAAGAAUAAGUGGCCAAUUGAUAUCAACCAUGGUUGUGUAAUCAGAGCUGCAAACAAUCAACAAGGUGAUUUACAUGGAGCUUGUCGAGCUGUAAAGACUAGAAUUGGAGAUGUAGAAGUGGAGCAAAAUUUCUUUGUGUAAAACUCUGCUACAUAUCCGGUAAUACUUGGUCAACCUUAUAUUACAACUGCUAGAAUGGAGACUAGAGUCUUGAAUGAUGGUUCACAUUAUGCCAGAAUUUGGAGUUGGGAUGGGAGAAAAGCUCUGCAAUUUAUUACUGUGAAACCUAUCCAUGAGAGACACAGAGAACAAUUAAGAGGGAUGCCCUUGGAACCAGGAAUAACUUUGUGGAUUUCUAAAAAGCACCCUUGUAAGAUGGGGGCACAUGGGUGCAAAUGAUUCAUUUACAAACCCCAGUGUAGAUAGUAUGAGUUUUGGAUUUUUAAACUUAUCUAGUAAUGGAUUUGUGAGUGUUCAAAAGGUUAAAGAUUUAGAUUCUAUAAACAAAAAAAGAGUAAAGAAACAAGAGAAAAACUUAAAAAGAGUGGGUUUAGUUUCAAGUGAUGAAGCCAUAGUUGGAGUAAUAGAAGAAAUAGAUUUGGAAGAUGAUUUGGUAAAGGUUUUGGAGAAUCUGGCUAUAAACAUAGAUGGAGAUGCUAUAGUAGAAAUAUAUUCAAGAAGGACUUAUGAAGAAUUAGAAAGGAUGGUAGCAAAUGGUGGACUUGCUACAAACUAUGGGUUGAAGCAUGAGGCUAAAGUACAAACUAAAUAUAAAACUGUGGCAAGAAAGGUAAAGCCUGUAGCUAUACAAUUACCAGUUGAUAAUAUGGAGCAUAUUAAACAAGCAGUUAUGGAGCCAAGUCUAAGAGAGAGGUGUUGAAUUAGACAUCAAUUUACACAAGAAUCAUUAGCUAAAUUGAAGAUUGGAGGGGGUGACUUCUUAACAUCAACGGAGGAAGAUAUGUUUCAAAAAAUGCUUAUUAGACAUGGUAAGGCAUUUGCCUUAACUCCUGAUGAAAUCGGAUGUGUGGAUCCCAGUAUUAUAGUAUCUAUGGUAAUCUUUACAGUACCACAUGUUCCAUGGGAUUUAAAGCCUAUACCUGUGCCUAGAGCUUUACUUCCAAAAUUGAUAGAAUUAUUAAAAGAGAAGGUGAAGAUGGGUAUUUUGGAACCUUCAAUUGCUCCCUAUUCUAAUAGAUGGUUCACAUACUGAAGAAGUCAAGGGCAUUAAGAUUUAUUCAGGAUAUGCAACUUGCAAACAGGGUGACUAUUCGAAAUAUGGGAUCAGGUCCCAUAUUAGAUGAAGUGGCUGAACAAUUUGCAGGUCAUGUCAUUUAUUCUAUUAGAGACUUAUAUUUUGGAUAUGACCAAUUUCAAUUGGCUAAAGAGAGUAGAGAUUUAACUACCAUGAAGACUCCUUUGGAUUUAAUGAGGAUGUGUACGCUACCUCAAGGUGCAACCAACUCAGUGGCUCAUAUGUAAAAUGUUAUGAACCAAAUAUUAAAAGAAUUUGUGCCUGAGAAGACUAUUCCAUUUCUAGAUGAUAUACCUAUAAAAGGAGAUAAAAAAGAAGACAAGGAUGAGACUAUGGAGGUUGAAGGUUGUAGAAAGUUUGUGAAGAAAUAUAUUGAAGAUGUGGCUCAGAUAUUGGAGAGAUUGGAGUCAGUUAAUCUCACGUUAUCUUUGGAGAAAUCAAGCUUUAGAGUUGAUAAGAUUCUAGUAGUGGGACACAUGUGUGGCAGGUAUGGUAGGAAACCAAACCCUGAUAAGAUUGAUGCUAUAUCUAGAAUUAAGGCUUGUAAAAAUGUUACAGAAGCCAGAAGGUUUUUAGGAGCAUGUGUAUUCUAUCACAUUUGGGUGCCACACUUUGCCCAUAUCUCAGAGCCACUAUAUAAGUUAUUAAGGAAGGGUAAGAAAUUUGUAUGGGAAGAAGAACAAGAAAUAGCUAUGGAAAAUCUAAAAAAAAUGUUGAGUUCACCACCUGUGCUUAAACAAGUGGAUUAUCAAUGUGAAAGAUCAGUAGUUGUAAUAGUGGAUACAAGCCCUAUAGCAAUUGGAUGGGCUAUUGGACAAAAUGAUGUAGAGGGAAGAAGAUUUGUUAUAAGGUUUGGAGCUAGGGUUCUUACAAAGAGACAAAGGGCUUAUCCACAAGUUAAAAGAGAGCUUUGGGGAGCGCUUACAGCAUUGAAGGCUGAGAGGAAUUAUUUGAUUGGAGCAAGUAUGGUUUUGGAAACAGAUUGUUUGCCAUUACUUGGAAUGAUAAUUAACUGUACUACUCCAGAUAUUGCCAUGCUAAGAUGGAUAGCCUAUAUAAGGACAUUAAACCUUGUUUUGGUACAUAUUACUGGUAAAGAAAACUUGGUGGCAGAUAUGUUGUCCAGAGCUAGAUAUACAUUUGAAGAAGAGAUGAUGGCAUAUGAAAGAGGUGAAGAUGAAGAAGAGAAGAAUUAUGGAAGUUCAUUUGCUACUGGUGGAAUGGAUUUUGGUGACAAGGUUCAAAAUUUCUAUGAAGAAUUAUGGGGUAUGAAAUAUUUGGUUUUAGCAAGAGAAGAGUUAUCAAACUAUGUUGAAGGAAGGGCUUUGAGAACCAAGACCACGGAAGCAAUAUGCAGGUUUAUAUUAGAAGACAUCUUCAGCAGAUAUGGCUAUAUUGGGAGGAUGAGAGCUGAUAGAGGAGAAUUGGAUGCCAUAGAAGCAAGAGAUUUUUUCAAAAGGUACGGAGUUCAAUUGAAGUUGACUACUUCUUAUAAUCCUGAAGCCAAUGGAAAGAGUAAAAUAGGUCAUCCUCCAAUCAUUUAUGCAUUGGUUAAGGCAUGUAAGGGUAAAUCAAUUCAAUGGCCUAAACUGCUUCCAUUUGCUUUAUGGGCUGAUAGAACUACUCAUAGUACUGUCACUGGUUAUAUGCCUAUGGAAUUAAUGCUAGGACAAAAACCUAUAAUGCCUGCUGAAGCAACCUAUCCUACAUGGAUGUUUUUGUCUUGAGAAGAUAACAUUAAUAGAGAAAGGUUAUUAGAGCUUCAAAUCCAACAGUUAAGAAGAUUACCUGAGGACCUACAAAUUGCAGCUGAGAGGUUAAAGGAAGCAAGAUUGAAAAAUAAAGAGAGGUUUGAUAAGACUCAUAGGUUAAGGCCUAAACCUAUAGAGAUUGGAGAUUGGGUUCUAGUUUAUGAUAGCAGCCUUAAGCAUCAACUUAGUACUGUAAAAAAAAUUGCAAAAAAAUGUUUUGGACCAUAUGUGGUGGUUAUAGUCCAUGAUAAUGCCACAUAUAUCUUACGUGAGUUAGAUGGAGCUAUCAUUAGAAUUCCAAUAGCAGGAAAGAGGGUGAAGGCUUUCAAAAGAAGAGAUGGGCGGUUUCAAAUAGAAGAUCUUGAAGAAUUCUUACCUCAAUAUUUGGACCAAGAACAUGAAGAAGAAGACUCUAUGAGUGAUUCCAAGAAGUCUCAAGAGGAUGAAGAAGAGUAGUAUGUGGCACAUACCGGAGGAUGUGCAGGUUUGGAGGGGGUGGAUGUCGUACUGUAAUUACUUACAGUAUGUAAAAAUUAGUGAAAACAUGUAAUAUGUUUAUAAGUCUUAAUGUGAGUUAGAAUAGUUAGUAUGUUAAUUUAAAAUGAAUUGAAAUAAGAAAAAUUAUUUGGAAGUUAAUCUAGUUUGAUUAUAGAGUUUAUAUUAUAUAGGAUUUAGAUAGUUAGUAUAAAGAUUAAGGGAAGGGAGGAGUUAAAAGAUGAAAAUAUAACUAGAAGGAGGCUUAUUGGGAAGGAUGAAAGUAAGGCAUGGUUGGAUGAAGGCAAGGGGUGAAGAACUUCAUCCCUAUUGGUCGAAUACCAUGCCCAAUGGGCUUUGAGGAGGCUGCCCGAGGCCAUAUUAGGGGAUUAGGGUUCCUCUUUCGAAGCCAUUCGAGCUUUUGAGGCUAGGGUCAGAAGGUUUAGGGUUUUGGGUAUAAUUUGGGUGAAGAUUUUGUGUAAUUUCGAGUUUUUAUGGAAAAGAUAUGAAUGUUCAAAGAUAAGGUGUCAAUUUCGUACCUACUGGCACUUCUUUUGGGCAUCACAUACGAAAACGGAGAGCAACGGAAGAUCGGCGACUGGAUUUGGAGGAAGCAUUUUCUCGGCUACACAUUCUACUUACUGUAUAGUGAAUUCUAAGACUGGGUGAAGGAGUUAUGAGGCGUUGAAGACAGCACUUGAAAUUUGAAGGCAGUAAGUAUAUCGUUUUGUUGCUAGUUAUGGGUGAAGCCAUAUCUUGAGUUUUUGGACGAAUUUUUGACUCAAAAUUUACACAAGUGUGUGUAAUUGGGUUAAGAAGCUUUAGAUCAAAGUUUCAUAGUAUUUGAAUAAUUAAUUUGUGAGAUAUGAAGGAAGUUGUACACGGGUGUAAAAAAGCUAGGGUUUGAAGCUACAGUUAGGGUUUUCAAGAUAUCACAAGAUCCAAGACGAAUUUACGGUUGAAAUUUGGUGUGGUAGUUGCUAAAGAUAUAUCAGUACUCCAUGUAAGAUUUGGAGUUGUUUAGACGGUUAGAUCGUAAGUUAUGAGCUGUUGAACUUCGGAAAAAAUUCCUCAUAAGGAUAUAUAAGUUUUUUAUAACACCUUAUCAAGUAUUUUGAUGUUCUUUGGAUUUUAAGGCUUGUAUAUUGAUGUAAUUGCUCCAAAGGAGAGGAGUUUAAAUAUAUAAAAUUGUUACCCUUAUAUUUC